UUGUUAUAUCUCCACUAACUGAGGCAGAAGAGGGGGUUUAAACCUUCAAGUAAGUUAUGUGGGUCAAGGUAUGGUGAUUAAUUGGAGUUCUAGUUCAUUUACUUUGAGAAAAUUAGAGUGUUUAAAGCAGCCUCUUGGGGGCACUGAAUACAUUAGCAUGGGAUAAUAAAAUAGGAUCUUCACAAUAUAUUUUAUUGGUUUAAAUUGGAUAUGAAGAUAAUGAUUAAUAGGGACAGUUGGGGGUAUUCAUAUUGGGUGGUUAGCGGUGAAAUGCUCGGAUCCAUUCAAGAUGAACUAAAGCGAAAGCAUUUACCAAGGAUGUUUUCAUUAAUCAAGAACGAAAGUUAAGGGGAUCGAAGACGAUUAGAUACCGUCGUAGUCUUAACUAUAAACUAUGCCGACCAGGGAUAUGAGUUGUUAGGAUUAUAUGAAAGUAUAAUCAAUUUCUUCUUAUGAACCUUGUGAGAAAUCAUAAGUUUUUGGGUUCUGGGGGGAGUAUGGUCGCAAGGCUGAAACUUAAAGGAAUUGACGGAGGU
rnacentral:rRNA from 1 species